rnacentral:rRNA from 1 species
UAUUGGACAAUGGGCGCAAGCCUGAUCCAGCAAUGCCGCGUGUGUGAAGAAGGCCUUCGGGUUGUAAAGCACUUUAAGUUGGGAAGAAAAAACUCGCUCUAACACAGUGAGUCUUGACGGUACCGACAGAAUAAGCACCGGCUAACUCUGUGCCAGCAGCCGCGGUAAUACAGAGGGUGCAAGCGUUAAUCGGAUUUACUGGGCGUAAAGCGUGCGUAGGCGGUUCGUUAAGUCGAUUGUGAAAGCCCUGGGCUUAACCUGGGAAUUGCAGUCGAUACUGGCGGACUAGAGAACGGUAGAGGGAGGCGGAACUCCAGGUGUAGCGGUGAAAUGUGUAGAUAUCUGGAAGAACACCGAUGGCGAAGGCAACCUCCUGGGCCUGUUCUGACGCUGAGGCACGAAAGCGUGGGUAGCAAACAG